GAUGAAGAACGUAGCGAAAUGCGAUAAGUAAUGUGAAUUGCAGAAUUCAGUGUAUCAUCGAAUCUUUGAACGCACAUUGCGCCCAUUAGUAUUCUAGUGGGCAUGCCUGUUCGAGCGUCAUUAAGUCCACUUAAGCCCUGCUUAGUGUUGGGAGACUGCUCCAGCGGUGCUACCCUGUAGCUACCCUGCAGCUCCUCAAAGACAGCGGCGGAGUUGUGGUAUCCUCUGAGCUUAGUAACUUGUUCUAGCUUUCGAGUACACCACUUCCCCUGCCGUAAAACCCUUAAUUUUUAAUGGUUGACCUCGGAUCAGGUAGGAAUACCCGCUGAACUUAAGCAUAUCAAUAAGCGGAGGA
rnacentral:misc_RNA from 1 species